UGGGGAAUAUUGGACAAUGGGCGCAAGCCUGAUCCAGCCAUGCCGCGUGAAUGAUGAAGGCCUUAGGGUUGUAAAAUUCUUUCGCCAGGGAUGAUAAUGACAGUACCUGGUAAAGAAGCCCCGGCUAACUUCGUGCCAGCAGCCGCGGUAAUACGAAGGGGGCUAGCGUUGUUCGGAAUUACUGGGCGUAAAGCGCGCGUAGGCGGACUUUUAAGUCAGAUGUGAAAUCCCGGGGCUCAACCUCGGCACUGCAUUUGAAACUGGGAGUCUAGAGUUCAGGAGAGGUUAGCGGAAUACCGAGUGUAGAGGUGAAAUUCGUAGAUAUUCGGAGGAACACCAGUGGCGAAGGCGGCUCACUGGCUCGAUACUGACGCUGAGGUGCGAAAGUGUGGGGAGCAAACAGG
rnacentral:rRNA from 1 species